GAACAUCUAUAACUGGUGAUACUAUUCUUUGGAAACUCUUCUAGUUCGAUUCUAAAAUUAAGUUUUGCUCAAUCAAUAGUUUUUAGAAAUAAGUAAAGAGGCAUGAAAGAUUUAACUUGCUAAACAAGUAGAACUUCUUAAUUUGACAGCUUGUUUAUCAUAGUACUCCCUGGCAAGAGAACAGCAACGCUAAAUAAUAAUUAACCAUAAUCCGUCAUGGACAAGUAUUAAUCCUCUAUUAAGGUGCCGAAAAUUGGAACCCAUAAAGAUGUCAAAACUUGAGUGAGGUUGAGCUGGGUGCUAUUAUCAGCACAAGCAAAACAGCAAAUAUCCCUCAAGGAAAUUAUAAUCAUAAAAAAGAAAGUGGUGUUGAACCAUGCAUUAAUAUUGAAACAGUAAGCAAACAAAGUUCUUCAGGUCAGAACUCCAUAUUGGAUAAGGUAUCAUAUCAGAAACAUCAUAAUUUUAACAUUUCGUGGACAGGAAGAAAUUAAACAAAAAAUACUGCAACUCCAGGGUCGAGGUACCCACUGUUUCUAAUCUGAGAACAAGAACAUCCUUCUUUUGUCCAAUCCUAUGAGCCCUUGCUUGUGCUUGCAGAUCAACCUGAGAAACGUGAAAGAUUUCAGCAAAUGUUGAGUUCUCAUAUCAAUGGUUUUACAUUUUGAUAAAGGAGCAGCAUUGAAAUGUUGCCUGUGGAUUCCAGUCUGUGUCAAAUAUAAUAACUGUAUCAGCAGCUUGAAGAUUUACACCAACACCUCCAGCUCGAAUACUGGAAUCAAAUUGUAAUGAGUCAGUGCAACAAGACACGCAUACUAACUUGAAGAUUAACUACAACUGAAUGCACAAGUCCAAUGAAACAUCUUUCAAGUGGAAAGGAUCUACAUUAUGGCCAGGGGAGCCAUGGUCUCCAUUGACCCAAUAACAACUCCACUUUCUGCUUUAGUUAUGUUUUUAAGUAGUUUGACCCCCUCAAUAUCUAUCUAGCUUUCAUCAAUUCUAACAUGCUAAUGUAACAAUACUAAGGAUAACCAUGGUAAUGUAUUUUGUGUUGAAGACCACUUGCGAUCCCUAGGCUAACUUUGCUGCUCCUGACAUGAAAUGCAAAUAUUAUUCUACUGAUUCGAUCUUCAAGCACCGGGCAUCUUUCUUGUAAUGCAUUUUUGUGUUGAUUUGAGUGUAUUAUUCAGAUUUUGGCCGUACUGUACUGGAUACAAAACAGGUCUCAAUGUUCUCGAGCAUUAUUAUUGAAUAAAUAAGACAGAACGUCCCUCAUUCUAGUCAAAAUAUUAGAUGUUUGAAUUCCCUUUUUCAGAAAAUCAAACAACACGACCCCAUCACCAGAUAGUUUUUCAAUCCAACCCACACACGUUUCAGAAUUUCCUAGAGCCAGUAGCAACAAUCAAAGUAGAUUUAAAAAAUCGCCUACUACAUAAGAUUGCUCAAGCCAACAUUGCAUAUGGAUUCUAGAAGUCCCAACUAUUGCACCUCUUACUGAUGCAAACCGUCUAGUCAAUUAUAGAUCUAAAAGAAAUCCAAUUCUACUGGUACAGAUAAGCUGAAUUAUUACCUGAGCAAAAAUAUAAAAUACGGAGAACCUGGUUGAUUGAACUUCUCAAUAAGAGCUCCUCGAUCACCCCCAGAUGUCUGUCCAUCUAAGCGAAGGUAUUUAUAUUGUUUCCAGCAAAGAUAGUCCUCCAUGACAUCAAGGAGUCUAGUCAUUGUUGAAAAGAGAAGAACCUGCAGAACAUAAAAAUUCAGAUUUUCGAACGUGUGGAAUCAGACCUUCAAGUACCCUGGAAGCUUAAUAAAGAAUCACAUAUCAGAGAAGGUGAAAGAAAAAUAUUUCAUGGGAAAAAAUGGGGUAUUCUGAGUAAGCCCCUCCCUCUUGUCUCUCUAAACAGAAGUUACAGAACAAAGGGGACUUUAACCUUUGUGGUCAGGCACAAGGGUUCCAAAGCAACCGUUAGAUAAUUUUGGGAUAAGGUUUAAGCUCUGUAGCACCGACACGCUGCCAGCGACAGCUUAUCGGACACCGAUUUGCCUCCGACACGUCGCCGACGCGUGUCGGAGUUGAUGGUAGCGUGUCGGAGGAUUGCUGGGCGGCUGAGUUGAAGGGAAGAAAUGCAACCGGAGCUGGAGGAAGAAAUGCAACCAGAGGAAGCGUGGCCGUCUGGGAAGGAAGAAAAAAAAAAGAGGAAAGAAAAAAGAGAGAAAAGAGAAGAAGAGACCUGGCCUAAAAAUGGAAACUGUUGAACUGACUUGUCUGAGAAAUGGAAAGAAAUCAGAGAAGAAAAAGAGAAGAAAAAGGGACAGCUGGAAAUGAUAAAACUCUCCCUUUACCAAUGAAUAUUUUAAUUUGUAGGGCCCACAAUUGUAAAAUCUUGUACUUUUUGUAUCUUUCGAUGCUGUAACUUUUGAUCAAAUACUAUAUAAUAUUUUGUUUGAAUGACAUUGUACCAUUUUACCCCUUUACCAAAGAAUAUUGUGAAUAAGGAGUAUGCCAAAUUCUCAACUAUGGAAGAAUAAAAUGUUGUGGACAAUAAAAUUAAAAUAAACUAAAAAAAAAUUAAUUUUAUAAUCAACAUGUCGGCGAUGUAUCGUGUCGGAAUUUUUUUAAAAAUCGCGUGUCAGCCUGUCCGACACGUCCGUGUCCGUGUCGGUGCUUCUUAGGGUUUAAGUAACCUAUAGCCUAUCAAAAUUACUGAAUGUUUUCACAAACCCAUGAAUAGACACCCCCCAACCCCAUCGCUCAAAGGAAAAAAUACACUGCACACCAGCAAAAACUUGCAAAAAAAUAAAAGGGAUAAAUCAAUAAGCAGAUAGAUCGCCAAAUGGAAAACAGGAAAUGGAGAAAAGAAAGAACAAAUUAGCCAAAUCACUUCGAGAAAAAAGACAAGCACAUAAAGUGAAGGAAACAGUUAUUUUCUUCAAACAAAUCAAUGCACAUUGUGAUACAUAACAAAGAAUAAAUACAAUGAUUCUAACCUAUAAAAGGGAGUAUCUACUAGAAAAGCGAUAUGAAACUGGUAAUCAAAUCAAAGAUGUAGGUGCAGUGAAAGAAUGGUAAUUUUCGACAUAUCAUACAACAUAUUACUAGAGCAUUAAACAGAACUCCAGAAUCACAAAAGAUAAAUACAAGAAAACUCUGAUAAAGAAUGAGAAAAUAAAAAAAAAAAAACUCAUACACUAUAACACUAAACACGAACCAUAAAAUUGAAUUUUCAUACCCGAUGAUCAGUUGCCUUUAGUUUGGGCAGCAAUCGAUCUAACAUCUCAAGCUUCCCACAGAGCCUCACAAUAUUAGGCAGAUAAUGCUUCGGAAUAAAAUCAUGAACCUAAUUAAAGAAACGAAAGUAAAUCUCAGUUAAACAGUUGUAGAGUCCUAAGCAUUUGGAGAUUAUGGGAUGAUUCUGCCUUUAUGUAUUAAAUGCCAGUAUUCUGCCUUUUAAUUACUUGGGAUGAUUCUGCACACAAUAAGCCACCUAACAAUACAAACGAAGUAAAAUACUAAGCCAAAACAAUAAGCCAAAAUAGUAGGUAAGCUCUUGCAUCAUUAACUUAGUUAAAGGUUGAUAUCAUUACAAAUAAAGGUAUAUAAAACCUUGCAUAAAUACAUACAUCAACUUAAAUCUAGAAGAAAGUUUUCAAACAAAGCAAAAUAUUAAGCAGAAAUAAUCCAUGGAGAUUCUCUUUUAGUUUCCUUCAUCCUCGGCAACUCCUUUACCCUUGCGGAACGUAACGUUCACUUGCCUUCACUUGAUUUACCUCUCGACUUGUCUUUAUCUUUCCAAGAAGUGCACUGUUUCUUUGUUGGGCAAUCAUACAAGAAGUGCCCCGGCUUCCUACAACUGUGACAAUGUAAUGUAAUCAGCAAACUAAUAAAAACGGCCAAAAAUUCAAUAUAAUCAGCCUCUUCAAUAUAAAAAAUUCAAAAAUUUCGAAGAGUGGAAGGUGCACAACGUAAUCAGCCUCUUCAAGCAACAUUAACAAUAACCAUUGUACCAUACUUAUGCAUCCACUUCCAAAAAAAUUCAAUAACAGUAAAUUGAGGGAAAGACAACACCAACACUGGAACUUCAUCAUAUUAAGGUACCGAAAAUUGGAACCCAUAAAGAUGUCAAAACUUGAGUGAGGAUUGAGCUGGGUGCUAUUAUCAGCACAAGCAAAACAGCAAAUAUCCCUCAAGGAAAUUAUAAUCAUAAAAAAGAAAGUGGUGUUGAACCAUGCAUUAAUAUUGAAGCAGUAAGCAAACAAAGUUCUUCAGGUCAGAACUCCAUAUUGGAUAAGGUAUCAUAUCAGAAACAUCAUAAUUUUAACAUUUCGUGGACAGGAAGAAAUUAAAAAAAAAAUACUGCAACUCCAGG
rnacentral:lncRNA from 1 species